ACCCCUACGGGGGGCAGCAGGGGGGAAUAUUGGGCAAUGGGCGCAAGCCUGACCCAGCAAUGCCGCGUGAAGGAAGAAGGCCUUCGGGUUGUAAACUUCUUUUAUCAGGGACGAAGGAUGUGACGGUACCUGAUGAAUAAGCUCCGGCUAACUACGUGCCAGCAGCCGCGGUAAUACGUAGGGAGCAAGCGUUAUCCGGAUUUACUGGGUGUAAAGGGCGCGUAGGCGGGGUGGCAAGUCAGAUGUGAAAUCCAAGGGCUGAACCCUUGAACUGCAUUUGAAACUGUGGUUCUUGAAUACUGGAG
rnacentral:rRNA from 1 species